CUUGGACCUUCUAGGGUCUUCUUGAGCCCUCUUUUCUCUCCUUCUUCCUCCUCCUCCUCUAAUUUUCUUCAUUUCUUCUCUUAAAACCUCUCAUCUUUGGUCCCCAAACAAAGAAAGAAGUGGAGAUUUCAUUUCCUUUCAUGAAGAAGAGUUCGAUUAAGGUGUAGAGACGAUCAUCGGAGGUGAAGCUUAAAGCAAAGGAAAAGAGAUUAUAGACAAGUAGCUUUGGAGGGUGUUAGCUCGCCAAGUUUGGGGAAACCCCAGUACUUACUGCAGUAAGAGUGUGGAUGGUUUCCAUGGGCCAACCUGUAUAGAGGUGGUGUUGAAUACUGUCAAACCGGUUAUGUCAUUUCAGGUGGGAGCGUAGAGCCCUGACUUGGAUAUAGUUGGGUUGUUUAGAGUCACCACACGAACUUCCCAGCGGCCAAUGCCAAGAUACGCGCAUCUUGGCGGCUCUUGACCUAACCGCGGCCACGGUUAGCAAAGGAUGGUUUUUGAGGCUAUUUAAGAUAUAUAUUUGAUUGUUUUAACUGAAGAUUUAUAUGUUCUGGAUUAUGAGUUACUUAACAAAGGAAUGGAUUUGGAUUUCUUACUUGUAUGGAUUUCAUGAUGAUUUAAAGAUUUUUAUCAAGCAUUUCAUUGUUGUAAAUUUUAUUUCUUACUUUAUACUUGACAUUCAAAGUAUAUUGAAUAUUUUGAGGAUUUGAAAUAUAUUUUUGACAUUUUACUUUAAUAUAUUAUGUAUGAGAUAUACCUCCAUGUUUAGCCGCUCACUGAGUAACCUAGUUACUCAUACCCUCUUCUUUUCCCUCCCAGGUGAUAGCACAGCAGCGGGAUAGAAGCUUGAAGUGCUUGGCAGAGUAGUUUGUAUUUUUUUUUAGCCGUGUAUGAUGCUUAAACAUUCUGGCAUGUAUUUGUUGGAUCCACUAGGAUGUUACCAACCCUAAUAUUAUUAUGUAUCUUUCUUCUUAGAUACUUUUAUA